AAAGUCGUAACAAGGUAACCGUAGGUGAACCUGCGGUUGGAUCAUUAAUAAAUAUAGAAGACCUUCAAGGUCUCUCUAACAUUUUGUGAAUUGUUUAUCGUCUCUGGCGAGUUUACGCUCGCCAUUGUAUACUUUGUAUUAAAUUAUUGUCUAUAAAAGCUUUUUAUUUUAAUAAAAAACAACUUUUAACAACGGAUCUCUAGGCUCUC
rnacentral:misc_RNA from 1 species